rnacentral:rRNA from 1 species
UNGUNCUGCUUCGGAUUCGACUAAGCCAUGCGAGUCGUGUGGUGCCGCAAGGUAACCACGGCGUAUUGCUCAGUAACACGUGGACAACCUGCCCUUGGGACCGGGAUAACCCCGGGAAACUGGGGAUAAUACCGGAUAGGUCAUAGACGCUGGAAUGCCCUUUGACCGAAAGUGAAAGCACCCAAGGAUGGGUCUGCGGCCCAUCAGGCUGUUGUCAGUGUAAUGAACUGACAAACCUAUAAUGGGUACGGGCACUGAGAGGUGGAGCCCGGAGAUGGGUUCUGAGACAUGAACCCAGGGUCUACGGACCGCAGCAGGCGCGAAACCUUUGCAAUGCGGGAAACCGCGACAGGGGGACUCCGAGUGUCUGCACCUAGUGCAGACUUUUAAGAUGCCUAAAAAGCAUCUUGAAUAAGGGCCGGGUAAGACGGGUGCCAGCCGCCGCGGUAACACCCGCGGCCCGAGUGGUGGUCGCUUUUAUUGGGUCUAAAGGGUUCGUAGCCGGCUCAGCAAGUCCUUUGGGAAAUCCGGCGGCUUAACUGUCGGGCUUCUAAGGGAUACUACUGGGUUUGGGACCGGGUGAGGGUAGAGGUACUCCAGGGGUAGCGGUGAAAUGCUGUAAUCCUUGGGGGACUACCAGUGGCGAAGGCGUCUACCCAGAACGGGUCCGACGGUGAGGGACGAAAGCUAGGGGCGCAAACGGGAUUAGAUACCCCGGUAGUCCUAGCCCUAAACGAUGUGGGCUGUGUGUCGGUCUCGACGCGAUCGAGACCGGUGCCGUAGGGAAGCUGUUAAGCCCACCACCUGGGGAGUACGGUCGCAAGGCUGAAACUUAAAGGAAUUGGCGGGGGAGCACCACAACGGGGAGCUCGGUA